GGGGAUUUAGCUCAGUGGCAUAAGCGCCUGCCUGGCAAGUAUGAGGUCGUGAAUUCAAUCCACAGUACCCC
rfam:Cavia porcellus supercont2_20 genomic scaffold, whole genome shotgun sequence.